rnacentral:tRNA from 1 species
GCCGUCAUAGUAUAGUGGUCAUUAUAAAUCGUUGUGGUGUAAAACACUACAAAUGCAAACCCGAUUAGACCCAAGUUCGAUUCUUGGUGAUGGCA